GCCUCUGACGGAUAUGUCAGAGACUGUACUUUUUUCAAGUUCGAGUGAAACAGUGGCACUUUGCGCGAUUAAAAAAUAAGAUUAUUUUACUGAAUUACAAAGGAGACAUAGUUAUAAUUAAGAUAAUUUCAUAACUAUUCGUUCUAGUUAUUUAUCGGUGUAGUGUGAUUAGUGUAUUGUGUAUUGUAAUAGAUCUAACUUAUAGUGGGUAUCAUCGGUUUCAUUUACCAUCGCUUAUUUUGCCAAAUGACGUCCACUGCUGGACAAAGGCCACCAAGGGUUUCCAUUCCACAACGAGCGGUCCUACGCCGCCCGCAUCCAGGCACCUCCCGCGACCUUCACCAGAAGUAUACCUAG